UUUGGGGUAAAUAAAAAUAAAAAUAUUNUUGAUUUAAAUUGAUCUUAACGAAACUAAAUGAAAAAGGUACUCUAGGGAUAACAGCGUUAUAAUCAUUAAAGCCCUUAUUAAAAUGAUUGUUUGCGACCUCGAUGUUGAAUUGCGAAUANCUUUNUANAGCAGANAUUAGAAACACANAGAUCU
rnacentral:rRNA from 1 species